rnacentral:rRNA from 1 species
AAGCGGUGGAGCAUGUGGUUUAAUUCGAUGCAACGCGAAGAACCUUUACCUACUCUUGACAUCCAGAGAACUUAGCAGAGAUGCUUUGGUGCCUUCGGGAACUCUGAGACAGGUGCUGCAUGGCUGUCGUCAGCUCGUGUUGUGAAAUGUUGGGUUAAGUCCCGCAACGAGCGCAACCCUUAUCCUUUGUUGCCAGCGGUUAGGCCGGGAACUCAAAGGAGACUGCCAGUGAUAAACUGGAGGAAGGUGGGGAUGACGUCAAGUCAUCAUGGCCCCUACGAGUAGGGCUACACACGUGCUACAAUGGCGCAUACAAAGAGAAGCGACCUCGCGAGAGCAAGCGGACCUCAUAAAGUGCGUCGUAGUCCGGAUUGGAGUCUGCAACUCGACUCCAUGAAGUCGGAAUCGCUAGUAAUCGUAGAUCAGAAUGCUACGGUGAAUACGUUCCCGGGCCUUGUACACACCGCCCGUCACACCAUGGGAGUGGGUUGCAAAAGAAGUAGGUAGCUUAACCUUCGGGAGGGCGCUUACCACUUUGUGAUUCAUGACUGGGGUGAAGUCGUAACAAGGUAACC